rnacentral:rRNA from 1 species
AGUGAACGCUGGCGGUAGGCCUAACACAUGCAAGUCGAACGGCAGCACAGUAAGAGCUUGCUCUUACGGGUGGCGAGUGGCGGACGGGUGAGGAAUACAUCGGAAUCUACUUUUUCGUGGGGGAUAACGUAGGGAAACUUACGCUAAUACCGCAUACGACCUACGGGUGAAAGCAGGGGAUCUUCGGACCUUGCGCGAUUGAAUGAGCCGAUGUCGGAUUAGCUAGUUGGCGGGGUAAAGGCCCACCAAGGCGACGAUCCGUAGCUGGUCUGAGAGGAUGAUCAGCCACACUGGAUCUGAGACACGGUCCAGACUCCUACGGGAGGCAGCAGUGGGGAAUAUUGGACAAUGGGCGCAAGCCUGAUCCAGCCAUACCGCGUGGGUGAAGAAGGCCUUCGGGUUGUAAAGCCCUUUUGUUGGGAAAGAAAAGCAGCAGGUUAAUACCCCGCCGUUCUGACGGUACCCAAAGAAUAAGCACCGGCUAACUUCGUG